GGGAGAGAGAAGACAGAGGGGAGAAGACAGAGGGAGAGAGAUACAGAGGGAGAGAGAAGACAGGUGGAGAGAGGACAGAGGGAGAGAGAGACAGGGGGAGAGAGAUACAGAGGGAGAGAGAUACAGAGGGAGAGAGAAGACAGGGGAGAGAGAGAUACAGAGGAGAGAGAAGACAGGUGGAUAGAGAAGACAGAGGGAGAGAUAUACAGAGGGAGAGAGAAGACAGGGGGAGAGAGAAGACAGAGGGAGAGAGAAGACAGAGGGAGGAGAGAAAACACAGAGAGAUACAGCGGGAAAGAGAUACAGAGAGAAGACAGAGG
ensembl:lncRNA